GUUUUGCCGGAAGAUCAGUGCUUCCUCCGCAUUUGAUCUCUCUUCCCCAGCCAGGAAGAGUGGAAGGUGGUAAAAAUAGAGGAAGUCGGACAGGAACCGCACCGUACGUACGUACUUCUCUCGAAAGGAUUUAAAAAGCUCUCGAAUUGCCAAGGAGAGGACUAAGAAUCUGCUUCCACUGAACAGGCAGAAUUCACAGGACAUGUACUCUGCACCUCGCUGCAUCUCAGCAUGCGUAAACAAGAGUCAGCCAAAUCCUCCAGAAUUAAAGGGAACUUUCCGAAGGCUCUGAAGUACCUCUCCAAGCUCUUCUAGCCUGAUUGCAGUCAACAAUAGAGCUAAGCAAGAGACCAGGUGGUUACGUGCAACAGGAGAGGUGGGCUGAACGACAAGAAGCAAAGGAGAAGGAAGCAUCAUGUCUCUUAAAAAACAAGCCAGAGCAAGCUAACUGCUGCCUGCUGAUCAGGGGCUACACGACCAAUUCUGCAAGGUGCUCAGUCAUGCCAAAUGCAGCCGGUAACUCGCACGGGUGUCAUGGGCGCGUUUCAGACACGUUUGUUAUUCAGAAGCUUCCAGACAGGGUUAAAAUGGAAUCUCAGCAUUUUAUUUCUCCAAGAUCUGGCUGCUUUGACCUUAAUUCCACUUGGCCAGGUUAUUAAGACCCCUGACAAGAUGAAGAAAUUUGUGCAUAGCAUGAGCUGAUUUAGUUUGGGUACCGUGAGGGUUUUUUCACAGCCUUCAUUACUGUAACGUCAUGCAUAGGGUUUGUCGUUUGUUUGCCAUACAACUUAUUCCCCUCAGAUUAGUCCUUUUCUAGUCAAGCAGUUUAAAGCUAAUCACAGUUGUUAUUUUAAUCUGUGCUCCCCAUUAAGAAUUCUUGCAGAGCUAUUUUGCUUGUUAGCAAUUAAGGUCUCCCAGUGGAAGUUUAUGAUUACAGCAAAAGCAACCUGUUUAAUACUUGGCACCUUUUCAGUUUACAAGCAUUAAACCCAAGAGCAUAGAGGCAUGCUAAUGCUGCCGCUGAAAGUACAGCACACCUAUUUAAGAAACCAUUUUUAAAACAUGAAGCUGGAGAAAUGCCAUGUGGUCCUCGUGCACAUUUGAUCUUCCCACUUCGUGUUUUUCAUUAGUGUAGUAUUAAGGUAGUAAGGUGCUGUUGUUCCUUCAUUCAUUUUAUGUUUGUCAUCUCUGAAAUGCAAUAUAUCCUAAGACCGUGACAGACUAAAGGUUUGGUCCUGGUUCUAGCAGCACUAAUAAUAAAAUUCCCUUGAAAGUGCUUAAGAGCAGAGUAUGGCCCUUGUGUGUUUAGACAAGCAUCCUAUGCUGAAAUACUAAUUCUUUUUUCUGUUAAGGGAAUUAGCAAUUGCUGUUAUUGACCCUAGUGUCAAGACCUAAAAAUUAUGACCUCCUGUUGAGGUCACUUUGCAAAGACGGCAGGAGCAAAUUUCUGGUCGUCAUGUUGUUUUUUCACGUGGUUCGGCCAUAAGGAAUUACACAUAGCAAUACGCAUUAGCUGCAUUAGAAACAGCAUUAAAUGAGUACGUGAGAAAAUACCAUUGCAGGGGGAAAGAAAAGCCAACCCCAUUCUGUCCAAUUCUAAGCUAUUUCAUGACAAGAUGGGAAGAGAAAUCUAAAAUAAUGUUCUGGCUCAUGUUGCUGCAUGGAGAUACCUUCACUCCCGCUGUAACGCCAAUGACAAGUGUCAGUGAGUUACACAGGAGCUGAACUUGUCUCGCUGUAAGUUUAUUUUGUCCAAACAGACUAGAGAAAUGGCAGAAUGACUGAAGACUCAAAUAUGCUCUCAUUGUCAUUAUUUUUCAUGUAGAAAGACUUAACAUUAAGAUCCUCAGUAUAGGAAAAGCUGUGUUAAAAACGCAUCUCCAUGUAGUGGUGAGGUACCUUCACUCAUGGCUGUAAAGGUCUUUAAGCACAGAAAAUCUGAGCCCGGGCUCGAGGUCUAUUUUAGCACUAUGAAAUGUGACCUAAACACAGCCAGUCCUCCAGGGACGGCAAUUAAAGCAGUAAAUGUCCCACAGCAGAUGCUCAUGCCAUGUAUUCAAAGUAGAUUUGAUCAAGUUGUCUAAAAUUAAAAGAAAUUUUUGCCCCCACAUGUCUUUCAGGGUCCCAUUGUACAUGCGGAAAUGUAAAGGAAAUGCAAAAUUGAUAUGCGCGCCGUGACGUUGCCUUUAGUCUCCUCUGACUUAGCCCGGUUGCUAUAAAUCUGUCCCGCCUGUAAGUACCACGGAAGGAGCUAAACGUUCAGAAUUGGUGUCUGUCUUUUUUAUUAGCUAGCCUAGAGUAAAGUCGCGGGCUAUCGGUCAAUGGCAAGUUCAUUGGCCCAAGGACCCAGUGGGUUAAACCUGGGGUAGUCACAAAUCAAGAGCAUAACCAAGUCUGAGAAGAGGGCUGUGCUGAUUUAUUAGGGCAUCUGGCUGGCUGUAGACAAUCUCGCACUGCCUUAGCAUAAUCCUCACCAGGAAACAGAGAUUUAAAAGAGAGAAAUAAAGUGUUCAAAGAAGACAGGCAAGCCCAGCAAGGUUUAUUUUGUAGUUCUCAUUGAUAGGCUUAAAUUUUUAUGCCAAUAGCCCCCUAAAAUAGUAUGAAAAAUAAAUCAAAAUAAUAUUAAAAAUAAAUUGCCGUCCUUAAGUUUUCCAAAAACACUGAAUUUUCAAAACACAUCUGAAUGUGAGUUCAUGACAGAAUAAUGUCACUACCUCCGCUACUUUGCAAAGACUAUUUCAUCUUUUAAUUUCUUAUUAUUCCUUUAUAAUCAGCCACUAUUGUGUCAUCUGUAUAUAAUGCUCUCAUCCUUCAUUCUUACAGAAAUAAUUUCCUGAAUAGUAUAGUCUUAAAUGUAAACUUAAAUUUUCUGUGCUAAUUAUUUUUACUACUUUUAAAAGAAAGCAGGAAUUAAUCCCAAACUUUCUGAGUUUUACCUGUAAAUAAGAUAAAGCCCACAUCAUAAAUGCUGUAUGCCAUGAGUGUAGCUGUAAUGCUACUUUUUAUCCUAUAGGAGAACAAGUUUGAGAGAUGUAAACUGGUACUGUCAUGUACUGUGCAAAGCUACUUUUUCCGUACAUGAGAGGCACUGAACUGAAAAAUCACAGAAAGGUAUUUAUUUCUUCUCUUGAUCAGAACUACAGUGAAUUAGGUUUUAAUCUAUGAAGAUUAAUUUAAUCUAUAAAGAUUAAAGUAUAUUUGACCAUGUAUUAAUAGAGAUUGUCACCACUCAUAUGCCUUCAGAAAGAAAAGUUAAUUCUAAUAUUGCCUUUCAAAAAAAUAUGGACUGUGAAUGUUGAAUCAAUUUCCUCACUGGUAUUAUUCCAUUUCCUCUAUAUUAAAGUUAUUCUAGAUACGAA